rnacentral:rRNA from 1 species
AGGAGGUUGGCUUAGAAGCAGCCACCCUUUAAAGAAAGCGUAAUAGCUCACUGAUCGAGUCGUCCUGCGCGGAAGAUGUAACGGGGCUAAGCCAUAUACCGAAGCUGCGGAUGCGAGCUAGUCUCGCAUGGUAGGAGAGCGUUCCGUAAGCCUGCGAAGGUGCGUUGAAAAGCGUGCUGGAGGUAUCGGAAGUGCGAAUGCUGACAUGAGUAGCGAUAAAGGGGGUGAAAGGCCCCCUCGCCGUAAGCCCAAGGUUUCCUACGCAACGUUCAUCGGCGUAGGGUGAGUCGGCCCCUAAGGCGAGGCAGAAAUGCGUAGCUGAUGGGAAGCAGGUCAAUAUUCCUGCACCAUUGUUAGAUGCGAUGGGGGGACGGAUCGCGGAAGGUUGUCCGGGUGUUGGAAGUCCCGGUCGCUGCAUUGGAGAAGGCGCUUAGGCAAAUCCGGGCGCAGGAUUCAAGGGUGUGGCGCGAGCUCCUUCGGGAGCGAAGCAAUUGGAAGUGGUUCCAAGAAAAGCCUCUAAGCUUCAGUCUAACGAUGACCGUACCGCAAACCGACACAGGUGGGCGAGAUGAGUAUUCUAAGGCGCUUGAGAGAACUCGGGAGAAGGAACUCGGCAAAUUGGUACCGUAACUUCGGGAUAAGGUACGCCCUGGUAGCUUGACUGGCCUGCGCCAGAAGGGUGAAGGGGUUGCAAUAAACUGGUGGCUGCGACUGUUUAAUAAAAACACAGCACUCUGCAAACACGAAAGUGGACGUAUAGGGUGUGACGCCUGCCCGGUGCCGG